UUAAGCGACUAAGCGUACACGGUGGAUGCCCUGGCAGUCAGAGGCGAUGAAGGACGUGCUAAUCUGCGAUAAGCGUCGGUAAGGUGAUAUGAACCGUUAUAACCGGCGAUUUCCGAAUGGGGAAACCCAGUGUGUUUCGACACACUAUCAUUAACUGAAUCCAUAGGUUAAUGAGGCGAACCGGGGGAACUGAAACAUCUAAGUACCCCGAGGAAAAGAAAUCAACCGAGAUUCCCCCAGUAGCGGCGAGCGAACGGGGAGCAGCCCAGAGCCUGAAUCAGUGUGUGUGUUAGUGGAAGCGUCUGGAAAGGCGCGCGAUACAGGGUGACAGCCCCGUACACAAAAAUGCACAUGCUGUGAGCUCGAUGAGUAGGGCGGGACACGUGGUAUCCUGUCUGAAUAUGGGGGGACCAUCCUCCAAGGCUAAAUACUCCUGACUGACCGAUAGUGAACCAGUACCGUGAGGGAAAGGCGAAAAGAACCCCGGCGAGGGGAGUGAAAAAGAACCUGAAACCGUGUACGUACAAGCAGUGGGAGCACGCUUAGGCGUGUGACUGCGUACCUUUUGUAUAAUGGGUCAGCGACUUAUAUUCUGUAGCAAGGUUAACCGAAUAGGGGAGCCGAAGGGAAACCGAGUCUUAACUGGGCGUUAAGUUGCAGGGUAUAGACCCGAAACCCGGUGAUCUAGCCAUGGGCAGGUUGAAGGUUGGGUAACACUAACUGGAGGACCGAACCGACUAAUGUUGAAAAAUUAGCGGAUGACUUGUGGCUGGGGGUGAAAGGCCAAUCAAACCGGGAGAUAGCUGGUUCUCCCCGAAAGCUAUUUAGGUAGCGCCUCGUGAAUUCAUCUCCGGGGGUAGAGCACUGUUUCGGCAAGGGGGUCAUCCCGACUUACCAACCCGAUGCAAACUGCGAAUACCGGAGAAUGUUAUCACGGGAGACACACGGCGGGUGCUAACGUCCGUCGUGAAGAGGGAAACAACCCAGACCGCCAGCUAAGGUCCCAAAGUCAUGGUUAAGUGGGAAACGAUGUGGGAAGGCCCAGACAGCCAGGAUGUUGGCUUAGAAGCAGCCAUCAUUUAAAGAAAGCGUAAUAGCUCACUGGUCGAGUCGGCCUGCGCGGAAGAUGUAACGGGGCUAAACCAUGCACCGAAGCUGCGGCAGCGACGCUGAUGCGUUGUUGGGUAGGGGAGCGUUCUGUAAGCCUGUGAAGGUGUGCUGUGAGGCAUGCUGGAGGUAUCAGAAGUGCGAAUGCUGACAUAAGUAACGAUAAAGCGGGUGAAAAGCCCGCUCGCCGGAAGACCAAGGGUUCCUGUCCAACGUUAAUCGGGGCAGGGUGAGUCGACCCCUAAGGCGAGGCCGAAAGGCGUAGUCGAUGGGAAACAGGUUAAUAUUCCUGUACUUGGUGUUACUGCGAAGGGGGGACGGAGAAGGCUAUGUUGGCCGGGCGACGGUUGUCCCGGUUUAAGCGUGUAGGCUGGUUUUCCAGGCAAAUCCGGAAAAUCAAGGCUGAGGCGUGAUGACGAGGCACUACGGUGCUGAAGCAACAAAUGCCCUGCUUCCAGGAAAAGCCUCUAAGCAUCAGGUAACAUCAAAUCGUACCCCAAACCGACACAGGUGGUCAGGUAGAGAAUACCAAGGCGCUUGAGAGAACUCGGGUGAAGGAACUAGGCAAAAUGGUGCCGUAACUUCGGGAGAAGGCACGCUGAUAUGUAGGUGAAGUCCCUCGCGGAUGGAGCUGAAAUCAGUCGAAGAUACCAGCUGGCUGCAACUGUUUAUUAAAAACACAGCACUGUGCAAACACGAAAGUGGACGUAUACGGUGUGACGCCUGCCCGGUGCCGGAAGGUUAAUUGAUGGGGUUAGCGCAAGCGAAGCUCUUGAUCGAAGCCCCGGUAAACGGCGGCCGUAACUAUAACGGUCCUAAGGUAGCGAAAUUCCUUGUCGGGUAAGUUCCGACCUGCACGAAUGGCGUAAUGAUGGCCAGGCUGUCUCCACCCGAGACUCAGUGAAAUUGAACUCGCUGUGAAGAUGCAGUGUACCCGCGGCAAGACGGAAAGACCCCGUGAACCUUUACUAUAGCUUGACACUGAACAUUGAGCCUUGAUGUGUAGGAUAGGUGGGAGGCUUUGAAGUGUGGACGCCAGUCUGCAUGGAGCCGACCUUGAAAUACCACCCUUUAAUGUUUGAUGUUCUAACGUUGACCCGUAAUCCGGGUUGCGGACAGUGUCUGGUGGGUAGUUUGACUGGGGCGGUCUCCUCCUAAAGAGUAACGGAGGAGCACGAAGGUUGGCUAAUCCUGGUCGGACAUCAGGAGGUUAGUGCAAUGGCAUAAGCCAGCUUGACUGCGAGCGUGACGGCGCGAGCAGGUGCGAAAGCAGGUCAUAGUGAUCCGGUGGUUCUGAAUGGAAGGGCCAUCGCUCAACGGAUAAAAGGUACUCCGGGGAUAACAGGCUGAUACCGCCCAAGAGUUCAUAUCGACGGCGGUGUUUGGCACCUCGAUGUCGGCUCAUCACAUCCUGGGGCUGAAGUAGGUCCCAAGGGUAUGGCUGUUCGCCAUUUAAAGUGGUACGCGAGCUGGGUUUAGAACGUCGUGAGACAGUUCGGUCCCUAUCUGCCGUGGGCGCUGGAGAACUGAGGGGGGCUGCUCCUAGUACGAGAGGACCGGAGUGGACGCAUCACUGGUGUUCGGGUUGUCAUGCCAAUGGCACUGCCCGGUAGCUAAAUGCGGAAGAGAUAAGUGCUGAAAGCAUCUAAGCACGAAACUUGCCCCGAGAUGAGUUCUCCCUGACUCCUUGAGAGUCCUGAAGGAACGUUGAAGACGACGACGUUGAUAGGCCGGGUGUGUAAGCGCAGCGAUGCGUUGAGCUAACCGGUACUAAUGAACCGUGAGGCUUAACCUU
rnacentral:rRNA from 1 species